rnacentral:lncRNA from 1 species
GACUAUCGAGUUUAACUUCAAUCUCAAGUUAAUUACGUAUUAUUAAUCAUUGCCUUUUCAAAGUAUGUUGAUUGGAAUUUUUGAGUAAUGAGUUGUGACUUUUUUGCAUUUGUUAUCUUUUGGGAGGACUAAUGCUAUUGACUAUCGGACUUGAUUGGAUGUACACCGCUAAUAGCGGUGCCUAGGGCCCAGGACUUGUUAAAAAUAUGUCGCCAAGUCUUUAAAUAUUGAGGUACGUAACGAUUGUUUUAAAUUUUGUAUAUUUGUGUUGAGUCGUAAUUAACUUGAACUUGAAGUUUCCCGGAUUCCAAUCAAUCUCAGAGUUAAUUAGGUAUAUUAGACACUGCCAUAUGUGUAAUUUGUCCUUUUGCAAAUUUUGUCUGAUUUGAACUUUUCAUUAAUAACUAUUGACUGUUUUUUCUAUCAUUUUGUGUUUGCGAGGAUUAUUGCUUUUGACUAUCGGGUAUGACUUCAAUCUUAAGUUAAUUAGGUAUUAUUAAUCAUUGCCUUUUCAAAGUAUGUUGAUUGGAAUUUUUGAGUAAUGAGUUGUGACUGUUUUGCAUUUGUUUUUCUUUUGUGAGGACUUAAUGCUAAUUGUCUAGUCAGCUUGCUUGGAUGUUCCUCCGCUAAAAUAACGGUGCCUAGAGGGCCCCAGGACUUUUUCAAAAACAAUAUCGCCAAGCCUUUAAAUAUUGAGGUACGUAACGAUUGUGUUAAAAUUUUGACUAUUUUUGUCUUCUUCGUAUUAACUUGAACUUCAGUUUUCCGGGUUCCCUUUCAAGCUCCAGUUUAAUUAUAGGUAUUUUGACAAUGCCAUAUGUUGUAGUUUGUCUAUUUUAAUUUUUCUGAUUGACGUUUAGUAAAUAACUAGUGACUGUUUCUAUUCUUUUGUUUUGCGAGGAUUAUUGCUAUUGACUAUCGAGUUUAACUUCAAUAUCAAGUUAAUUAGGUAUUAUUAGUCAAUACCUUUUCAAAGUAUACUGAUUGGAAUUUUUGAGUAAUGAGUAGUGACUAUUUUGCAAUUAUUUUCUCUUGUGAGGGGUAAUGCUAUUGACUAUCGGACUUGAUUGGAUGUAGCCCGCUAAUAACGGUGCCUAGGGCCCAGGACUUGUCAAAAACAUAUCGCCAAGCCUUUAGAUAUUGAGGUACGUAACGAUUGUUUUAAAUUUUGUAUAUUUAUCUUGGGAUCUUGGGCCGUAAUUACUUGACUUGAAACUUUUUUUUCGGGUUCAUUUCAGCUCACGUUAUUUAGGUAUUAUUGACAAUGCCAUAUUGUUGUUAGUUUGUCUUUUCAAUUUUUCUGAUUUGACUUUUCAGUAAUAACUAGUGACAGUUUUCUAUUCGUUUUCUUUUUCCAGGAUUAUUGCUAUUGACUAUGGGGUUUGACUUCAACCUCAACUUAAUUAGGUAUUAUUAGUCAAUGUCUUUUCAAAGCAUGCUGAUUGAAAUUUUUGAGUAUGAGUAGUGACUGUUUUGCAUUUGUUUUCUUUUCGAAGGACUAAUGCUAUUGUCUAUCGGACUUGAUUGGAUUUUCCUCUGCUAAUAGCGAUGCCUAGGGCCCAGGACUUGUCAAAAACAUAUCGCCAAGCCUUUAAAUAUUGAAGUACGUAACGAUUGUUUUAAAUUUUGUAAAUUUGUCUUCGACCGUAAUUAACUUGAACUUCAAGUUUUCCGGGUUCAAUUUCUAGCUCAAAUUAAUUAGGUAUUAUUUGACAAUGCCAUAUGUUGUAGUUUGUCUAUUUUAAAUUUUUAUGAUUUGAAGUUUAAAGUAAUAACUACUGACUGUUUUCUAUUUGUUUUGUUUUGCCGAGGAUUAUUGCUAUGGACUAUCGGUUUAACUUCAAUAUUCAAGUAAUAGGUAUCAUUAAUCAUUGCCUUUUCCAAAGUUGUUGAUCGGAAUGUUGAGUAUGAGUAGUAAAAUGUCUUGGAUUGGUUUCUUUGGGAGGAUAAUGUAUUGACUAUCGAUCUUGAUGAUGUACCCCGCUUAAUAGACGAUGCUAGGGACCCAGGACUUGUCAACAAACAUUCGCCAGCCUUGAAAUGUUCGAGGUAACGUAACGAUUGUUUUAAAUUUUGUAUAUUUGUCCUUGAGCCGUAAUGAACUUAAACUUGACAACUUUCCAGGGGGGUUUGGGUUUCAAUUUCAAGCUAAAGUACUUAGGUAUUAUUAGACAAUGCCAUGUGUUGUAGUUUGUUUGUUUCAAAUUUUUCUGAUUUGAAGUUUUGAGUAAUAACUAGUGACUGUUUUCUAUUCGUUUUGUUUUGCGAGGAUUAUUGCUUUUGACUAUCGGGUAUGACUUCAAUUUCAUGUUAGUUAGGUAUUAUUAAUCAUUGCCUUUUCAAAGUAUGUUGAUUGGAAUUUUUGAGUAAUGAGUUGUGACUGUUUUGCAUUUGUUUUCUUUUGUGAGGACUAAUGCUAUUGACUAUCGGACUUGAUUGGAUGUACCCCGCUAAUAGCGGUGCCUAGGGCCCAGGACUUGUUAAAAACAUAUCGCCAAGCCUUUAAAUAUUGUGGUAAGUAACGAUUGUUUUAAAUUUUGUAUAUUUAUCUUCUGCCGUAAUUAACUUGAACUUGAAGUUUAUCGGGUUCAAUUUUAAGCUCAAGUUAAUUAGGUAAUUAUUAGACAAUGCCAUAUGUUGUAGUUUGUCCUAUUUCCAAUUUUUCUGAUUUUGGAACUUUUCAUUUACUAGGACUUUUUUCUUUCGUUUUGUUUUGCGAGGAUUAUGCUAUUGACUAUUGGGGUUUGACUCAACGCUCAAGUUAAUUAGUAUUAGUAGUCAUGCCUUUUCAAAGCAUGCUGAUUGAAAUUGUUUUUGAGUAAUGAGUAGUGACUGUGUUUUGUUCAUUUGUUUUCUUUUGGGAAGGACGUAAUGGCUCUUGUCUAUCGUACUUGAUUGGAUUUUCCUCGCUAAUAGCGGUGGCCUAGGGCUCCAAGACUUGUUCAAAAACAUGUCGCCAAGUCCUUUAAUAUGGAGGUACUUAACGAUUGUUUUUAAAAUUUUGUAUAUUUGUUCUUCGACCUGUAAUUAAAAUUGAACUUGAAGUUUUCCGGGUUUCAUAUUUUCAAACUCAAGUUAAUUUGGGUAUUAUUAGACAUACCAUAUGUUUGUUAUGUUGUCUAUUUUAAAUUUUUCCUGAUUGGACCUUUUGAUUAAUAACUAAUGGACUGUGUUCUAUUCGUUUCGUUUUGGUUCGAAGAUUAUUGCGUGCUAUUGACUAAUUGGAUUUGACUUCAACCUCAAGUUAAUUUGGUAUUAUUAGUUAAUACCUUUUCAAAGAAUACUGAUUGGAAUUUUUGAGUAAUGAGUAGUGACUGUUUUGACUUUUGUUUUCAUGGGUAACAACAGGGGGAUUGAGGGGGGAGGGGGGGUACGGGGGGGCGGGCCCAGGGGGAAGGAGUGGGGACCUUUAGUUGAUCUUCUGGGCCCCUUUCCGUUUUCCUUUCAGGCGUCAUGGCUUCUCUAUUCUUGGAUGUACCCCGCUAAUAGCGGUGCCUAAGGCCCAGGACUUAUUAAAAACAUUCGCUAAGCCUUUAAUGUUGAGGUAUGUAACGAUUAUUUUAAAUUUUGUAUAUUUAUCUUGGUCCGUAAUUAACUUGAACUAUGAGUUUCCGGUUCAAUUCAAACUCAUUAGUAGGUAUUAUUAUACAAUGGCAUAUGUUGUUGUUUGUCUAUUUUAAAUUUCUCUAAUUUGAACUUCUAAUAACUAUGAUUGUUUUUCUAUCUUUCGUUUUUUUUUUGUGAGGAUUAUUGCUAUUAUCUAUCAGAGUUUUAACAAUCAAUCUCAAGUUAAUUAGGUAUUAUAAUCAAUUGCCUUUUCAAAGUAGCUGAUUGGAAUUUUGAGUAAUGAUUAGUGACUGUUUUUUGCAUUUGUUUUCUUUUGGGAGGAACUAACUGCUAUUGGUCCUAUCGUACUUGAUUGGAUUUUCCUCCGCUAAUUAGCGGUGCCUAGGGCACCCAACGACUUGUCAAAAACGAUGUCGUGCCGCACGCCCAAGCGCCAGCCUUUAAAAUAUUGAGGUACGUAACGAUUGUUUUAAAUUUUGUAUAUUUGCUUCGACCGUAAUUACUGAACUUGAGUUUUCGGGAUUCAAUUUCAAGCUCAAGUUAAUUAGGUAUUAUUAGACAACGCCAUAUGUUGUAUUUUGUCUAUUUUAAAUUUUUCUGAUUUGAAGUUUUGAGUAAUAACUAAUGACUGUUUUCUAUUCGUUUUGUUUUGCGAGGAUUAUUGCUUUUGACUAUCGGGUAUGACUUCAACCUCAAGUUAAUUAGGUAUUAUUAGUCAAUGCCUUUUCAAAGUAUGCUGAUUGAAAUUUUUGAGUAAUGAGUAGUGACUAUUUUGCAUUUAUUUUCUUUUGGGAAGACUAAUGCUAUUGACUAUCGGACUUGAUUGGAUGUACCCCGCUAAUAGCGAUGCCUAGGGCCCAGGACUUGUCAAAAACAUAUCGCCAAGCCUUUAAAUAUUGAGGUACGUAACGAUUGUUUUAAAUUUUGUAUAUUUGUCUUGGGCCGUAAUUAACUUGAACUUGAAGUUUUUCGGGUUCAAUUUCAAACUCAAGUUAAUUAGGUAUUAUUAGACAAUGCCAUAUGUUGUAGUUUGUCUAUUUUAAAUUUUUCUGAUUUGAACUUUUGAGUAAUAACUAGUGACUGUUUUCUAUUCGUUUUGUUUUGUGAGUAUUUUUGCUAUUGACUAUCGAGUUUAACUUCAAUCUCAAGUUAAUUAGGUAUUAUUAAUCGUUGCUUUUUCAAAGUAUGUUGAUUGAAAUUUUUAAGUAAUGAGAAGUGACUAUUUUGCAUCUGUUUUCUUUUGUGAGGUGUAAUGCUAUUGACUAUAGACUUGAUUGGAUGUACCCCGCUAAUAGCGGUGCCUAGGGCCCAGACCUUGUUAAAAAUAUGUCGCCAAGUCUUUAAAUAUUGAGGUACGUAA